AGGAGAACGAAGACUUGAGUCCUGGACGGAUAAUGUACCCUUGUAUGCAGUGUGCUGAUAUCCUUCUCUUAGAGGUUCAUCACACAUUUGUAACAGAUGGAUCAGACGGUGCCUUCAAUUUUAUGACAAGGAUAGCAAACAAAGACUCAAGGCAUAUGCUGCAGCGGGCACUCUGAGUAAGAAUUAUGCCAGUGUUCUUUUGAUGCUUUUGCGUCUUUGUCAGGUUUGUGAUCAUCCCUUUCUUGUCGAAG